GGAGUUAGCCGGUGCUUCUUCUGCGAGUAACGUCACAGAUGUAAGGUAUUAACUUACACCCUUUCCUCCUCGCUGAAAGUGCUUUACAACCCGAAGGCCUUCUUCACACACGCGGCAUGGCUGCAUCAGGGUUUCCCCCAUUGUGCAAUAUUCCCCACCUGCUGCCUCCCGUAGGAGUCUGGGCCGUGUCUCAGUCCCAGUGUGGCUGAUCAUCCUCUCAGACCAGCUAGGGAUCGUCGCCUAGGUGAGCCUUUACCUCACCUACUAGCUAAUCCCACCUGGGCUUAUCCAUCAGCGCAAGGCCCGAAGGUCCCCUGCUUUCCCCCGUAGGGCGUAUGCGGUAUUAGCAGUCGUUUCCAACUGUUAUCCCCCACCAAAUGGGCAAAUUCCCAGGCAUUACUCACCCGUCCGCCGCUCGUCAUCUUCAAAAGCAAGCUUUUGAAAUGUUACCGCUCGACUUGCAUGUGUUAGGCCUGCCGCCAGCGUUCAAUCUGAGCCAGGAUCAAACUCUGA
rnacentral:rRNA from 1 species